rnacentral:rRNA from 1 species
UACGUAGGGCGCAAGCGUUAUCCGGAAUUAUUGGGCGUAAAGAGCUCGUAGGCGGUUUGUCGCGUCUGCCGUGAAAGUCCGGGGCUCAACUCCGGAUUUGCGGUGGGUACGGGCAGACUAGAGUGAUGUAGGGGAGACUGGAAUUCCUGGUGUAGCGGUGAAAUGCGCAGAUAUCAGGAGGAACGCCGAUGGCGAAGGCAGGUCUCUGGGCAUUAACUGACGCUGAGGAGCGAAAGCAUGGGGAGCGAACAGG